rnacentral:lncRNA from 1 species
GGGUCAGGCGAGGACACGGCCCCCGCGCGGCGCGCGCACGCGGCCGCCCGUGAGGGAGGGGCGGGGAGGGGAGGGGGAGUCCACGGGCGGACGGCGGGCCCCGAAGCAGGGCAGCCUCGGGACGCCGCGCCGCUGAGGGGCUUUAACUGCAUCUACGCAGAAGGAGAGCUCCCGGUCCUGGAGCCCAGGUGCACCGCGCCCUGGCCAGCAGAGAUCUCGCCCCUCGGGAGCACAGAUGAAUAUGCAGGAGGGUAACCACCAGCUGGAUUUGUAAGAGAGGAUGGACCUGAAGCCUCAACUGUUUGAGUGCUGUUGCUCACGUUGUCCUGAACCAAAUUCAAGCUUAUUCCAACACUUUCCAGCUGUGAUGAAUAAUCAUUCUGCUGCAGUCUCAAGUCAGCUGGCAAAUCUGCAUUUAUGGCUUUUUCUAAGGCAAGAACAGAGAUUUCCGUGCUUGAAGGCAACUCUGAAACAAAACCUUCAGAGAAUUCUCUGGAGCUCUCACUGGAGAUAUUAUCGACUGCUCUUUUUUCUAUAUCUGAUGAUAAAGCAGGGACAUAACCUGAAUUCAAAAUUAAUGU